UACGUAGGUGGCAAGCGUUAUCCGGAAUCAUUGGGCGUAAAGGGUGCGUAGGUGGCACGAUAAGUCUGAAGUAAAAGGCAACAGCUCAACUGUUGUAUGCUUUGGAAACUGUCGAGCUAGAGUGCAGAAGAGGGCGAUGGAAUUCCAUGUGUAGCGGUAAAAUGCGUAGAUAUAUGGAGGAACACCAGUGGCGAAGGCGGUCGCCUGGUCUGUAACUGACACUGAUGCACGAAAGCGUGGGGAGCAAA
rnacentral:rRNA from 1 species